AUUGAACGCUGGCGGCAGGCCUAACACAUGCAAGUCGAACGGUAACAGGAAGAAGCUUGCUUCUUUGCUGACGAGUGGCGGACGUGUGAGUAAUGUCUGGGAAACUGCCUGAUGGAGGGGGAUAACUACUGGAAACGGUAGCUAAUACCGCAUAACGUCGCAAGACCAAAGAGGGGGACCUUCGGGCCUCUUGCCAUCGGAUGUGCCCAGAUGGGAUUAGCUAGUAGGUGGGGUAACGGCUCACCUAGGCGACGAUCCCUAGCUGGUCUGAGAGGAUGACCAGCCACACUGGAACUGAGACACGGUCCAGACUCCUACGGGAGGCAGCAGUGGGGAAUAUUGCACAAUGGGCGCAAGCCUGAUGCAGCCAUGCCGCGUGUAUGAAGAAGGCCUUCGGGUUGUAAAGUACUUUCAGCGGGGAGGAAGGGAGUAAAGUUAAUACCUUUGCUCAUUGACGUUACCCGCAGAAGAAGCACCGGCUAACUCCGUG
rnacentral:rRNA from 1 species